UAUAAUAAAGCCAAACUGUAAUAAACCAAAAUUGUACCAGAUGUGAUCAGACCAACCACGAAGCAAUACAGCAGCAAUACAGAACUCCAGAUGAGAGAGACCCAAGUCGAAUCAGAGACUGCAGCUAAGAACCUAAAGCCGAAGUCGAGGAAGAGAAGCCUCUAGAGAGAGAGACCUUCGCAAGAUAGCUGCAAAUCAGACAGAGAUCGCAAGAGAGAGAGAGAGAAAAGUAGCGACUCCGAUGGUGACAAACCAGACGAAUCAGAGAGGGCUAAUGGUGAUGAACCAGACAAACUAGAGAAGCCACGACUUACGGCUGAUUACGAACCAGACGAACCAAGGUGGGAUCAAGAUCGAUGACCCUUCGACCAACGAACCACGACGGCGACAAGCGAAGCAGCUAGGGUUUCAAACCUUGCUCUGAUACCAUCACACACCAGCAGCUUAGGGACGGAGUAGCACCAAACAGGUUCUUUCGCCAGUUCCGUCUAUUUUUUGCGGUACACUUGGCAGCAACAUCCAUGUUUCGUUUCUUAGCAUCUACCUUCGCACCAUGGUUGCUUCUAACACAGCUGGGAGUUUGUUGAUAUUGUUUGUCUUUUUAUUUAGUGGUUUCCGUAUCCCAAAAUAUAAGGCUUCAACAACUCUUUUCCAAUUUUAUUUUUUUAUAGUUGUUUAGGAAGAUGAACUUAAACCGUCUUGUUGAUUGCAGUCUCUAUUCCAACUUGGUUGAGGUGGGGAUUUUGGAUUUCCCCGAUGACAUGGUGAGAUAGGCCUUGCUUUAAAUGAAUUUCUUGCACCUAGAAGGCAAAAGACAUUGACAGCGAAUACUACCAUAGGGCAAGAAACACUUGAAAGCCGUGGAUUGCACUGUCACGGAUACUUAUUUUGGAUAUCACUUGAUGCCUUACUUGGAUUUAUAAUAAUUUUCAACAUUGGAUUUACCUUGUCUUUAACCUUCUUAACUCUCCUGGUUCUCGUGCUAUUAUUUCAAAUGAAAAGCUUUCCCAAAUUCAAGGAUCUGAAGAUUCCUCUGGUGCUGCCAAUGCAGAAGUAAAAUCUACGGAUUCUCCUAACACUACUACAAAAUCUCAUAAAGGCAAUGAGAGAAAGGGGGUUCACUCAGAAAAAACUACAACUUCUUUGUGACAUUACAGGUGUAUUUAGGCCUGGUGUUCUUACAGCAUUGAUGGGUGUCAGUGGAGCUGGGAAAACAACUCUUAUGGACGUUCUUGCUGGAAGAAAAACUAGUGGCACUAUUGAAGGAGAUAUUAGAAUUGGAGGGUUUCCUAAGGUUCAGGAGACGUUUGCUAGGAUUUCGGGUUACUGUGAGCAAACCGACAUACAUUCUCCACUAAUUACAAUUGAAGAAUCAGUGGCUUAUUCUGAUUGGCUGCGUCUGCAUCCUGAAAUUGAUUCAAAAACUAAAUUUGAAUUUGUGAAAGAAGUCCUUGAGAUCAUUGAGCUUGAUGAAAUCAAAGAUUGCUUGGUUGGCAUGCUUGGUGUUACUAAGCAGAGAUAGUGGCUUACGAUAUCUGUGGAGCUUCUAUUAUUUUCAUGGAUGAACCUACAACUAGAUUGGAUGCAAGAGCAGCUGCAAUUGUUAUGCGAGCAGUGAAGAACGUGGCUGAAACAGGAAGAACAAUUGUUUGCACCAUUCACCAACCAAGCAUUGACAUAUUUGAAGCAUUUGAUGAGGUAGGA